GACGAACGCUGGCGGCGUGCUUAACACAUGCAAGUCGAACGGUAAGGCCCUUCGGGGUACACGAGUGGCGAACGGGUGAGUAACACGUGGGUGAUCCGCCCUGCACUUCGGGAUAAGCCUGGGAAACUGGGUCUAAUACCGGAUAGGACCACUGCCUGCAUGGGUGGUGGUGGAAAGCUUUUGCGGUGUGGGAUGGGCCCGCGGCCUAUCAGCUUGUUGGUGGGGUGAUGGCCUACCAAGGCGACGACGGGUAGUCGGCCUGAGAGGGUGACCGGCCACACUGGGACUGAGAUACGGCCCAGACUCCUACGGGAGGCAGCAGUGGGGAAUAUUGCACAAUGGGCGCAAGCCUGAUGCAGCGACGCCGCGUGAGGGAUGACGGCCUUCGGGUUGUAAACCUCUUUCAGCACCGACGAAGCGCAAGUGACGGUAGGUGCAGAAGAAGGACCGGCCAACUACGUGCCAGCCGCCGCAGUAA
rnacentral:rRNA from 1 species